rnacentral:miRNA from 1 species
GUCACUGGGCCCUGGUCCCAAUCACUGGGUUCUGAUGCUAAUAACUGUGUCCUGGUCCUGGUCCUGGUCCUGGACACUGGGC